UUGUGAGGGCGCCCCCCGGCGGCUCGGAGGACCGAGGGUGGUGCGUUCUAAGAAAAGAUUUUUGGGGGGGUCCAGAAAGACUCAGGAGGGGUCAGUGCAGAGGCAGCAGCUUUAUUGUUGCAAAACAGGCAAAUAAAAACAAAUUUAUCGUUAAAAAUCUUGUUAAAAUUUUGUUAAAAUUAAGGCAGUUUCAACCCUCCCCUCUCCCUUCAGACGCCCCAAAAAUCCCCACGGGGUGGGAGCCCCGAAAUUGUCACCAGAGGUAAUGGGGGGACCCCCAAAAGUAACAAACGGGGGAGUCCAAAGGGCACAGGUGGACCCCAAAAGUGAUGGGAGGACCCCAAAGCCCCCCCCAAGCAAUGGGGGCACCCCCCAGUUCUCCCCUAUAAAUAACGGGGGGACCCCAAAAACAACUGGAAUCCCCCCCGAAAAUUCACUCCAGGCAAUGGGGGAACCCCAAAAGCACCAAAGGGACCCCAAAUUUUCACUCCAGGCAAUGGGGGAACCCCAAAGAUGACAAAAGGACCUCAAACCUUCACUCUCAGAAAUGGGGGGACCCCAAGGAUGACAAAAGGACCCCAAACUUUCACUCCUGACAAUGGGGGGACCCCAAAGAUACCAAACGGACCCCAAACUCUCACUCCAGGCAAUGGGGGAACCCCAAAUCUUCACUCCUGGUAAUGGAAGAGCCCUGAAGAGACCCCAAACCUUCACUCCAAGCAUUGGGGGAACCCCAAGGAUGACAAAGGGACCCCCAACCCUCACUCCCGGCAAUGAGGGAACCCCAAGGAUGACAAAGGGACCCCAACCCUCACUCCCGGCAAUGGGGGGACCCCAAACUCCCCCCGGCCCCUCAGCAGAGGCUGACGGGCAGCCCGUAGGCCACGGGCGCGGCCCCGAUUAGCGAUUUGAGGCGGGGGGCCUGGCGGGCCUGGGCCAGCUGCCCCAAAAGGGGGGUCCCGGGGCCCCCCCCCAGCCACCCCCGCAGCAGCGCCUGCGCCAGCCGGUCCAGGUCCCGGUCCGUGACGUCCCACAGGUUCCCCAGCACCAGCGGGCUGCAAACGGGGGGACACCCCAAAACGGGGGUGUGAGAGCCCAGGUACAGAGAGAGACACCCCAAAUAGAGAGAGAGACCCCAAAUACAGAGACACCCCAAAAUGGGGCUGUGAGAGCCCAAAUAGAGAGAGAAAUACACCCCAAAUAUAGAGACCCCAAAAUGGGGGUGUGAGAUACCAGGUACAGAGAGAGACACCCCAAAUAUAGAGAGAGACCCCAAAUACAGACACACCCCAAAUACAGAGAGAGAUGCACCCCAAAUAGAGAGAGACCCCAAAAUGGGGCUGUGAGAGCCCAAAUAGAGAGAGAGAGACCCCAAAUACUGAGAGAGACCCCAAAAUGGGGAUGUGAGCACAGGGAGAAUGCCCAAAAAUAAAGAGACACCCCAAAGUCA
rnacentral:lncRNA from 1 species